GCCACUCGGAACUUUGCACACCUCUACGUGGUGGGCGGCAGGCAACACAGUGGGAAGCUGUGGCUAAGAUGUAAAG
rnacentral:ribozyme from 1 species